rnacentral:rRNA from 1 species
UGGGGAAUAUUGGACAAUGGGCGCAAGCCUGAUCCAGCCAUGCCGCGUGAGUGAUGAAGGCCUUAGGGUUGUAAAGCUCUUUCGCCGGUGAAGAUAAUGACGGUAACCGGAGAAGAAGCCCCGGCUAACUUCGUGCCAGCAGCCGCGGUAAUACGAAGGGGGCUAGCGUUGCUCGGAAUCACUGGGCGUAAAGCGCACGUAGGCGGAUCGUUAAGUCAGGGGUGAAAUCCUGGAGCUCAACUCCAGGAACUGCCCUUGAUACUGGCGAUCUCGAGUUCGAGAGAGGUUGGUGGAACUCCGAGUGUAGAGGUGAAAUUCGUAGAUAUUCGGAAGAACACCAGUGGCGAAGGCGGCCAACUGGCUCGAUACUGACGCUGAGGUGCGAAAGCGUGGGGAGCAAAACAGGAUUAGAUACCCUGGUAGUCCACGCCGUAAACGAUGGAUGCUAGCCGUUGGGGGGUUUACCUCUCAGUGGCGCAGCUAACGCCUUAAGCAUCCCGCCUGGGGAGUACGGUCGCAAGAUUAAAACUCAAAUGAAUUGACGGGGUCAUAGCUGUUU